GGCCAUGGGGUCAUUGUAGGGUCAUUGUGGCACGGCUAUGGGGUCAUUGUAGGGUCAUCAUGGCACGGGUAUGGGGUCACUGUAGGGUCAUCGGGGCACGGAUAUGGGGUCAUUGUAGGGUCAUCGGGGCAUGGGUAUGGGGUCAUUGUAGGGUCAUCGGGGCAUGGGUAUGGGGUCAUUGUAGGGUCAUCAUGGCAUGGCUAUGGGGUCAUCAUAGGGUCAUCGGGGCACGGAUAUGGGGUCAUCUUAGGGUCAUCGGGGCACGGAUAUGGGGGCACUGUAGGGUCAUCAUGGCAUGGCUAUGGGGUCAUUGUAGGGUCAUCAUGGCACGGGUAUGGGGUCAUUGUAGGGUCAUCGGGGCACAGCCAUAGGGUCAUCAUAGGGUCAUCAUGGCACGGCUAUGGGGUCAUCGUAGGGUCAUCGGGGCACGGAUAUGGGGUCAUUGUAGGGUCAUCGGGGCAUGGGUAUGGGGUCAUUGUAGGGUCAUCGGGGCACGGAUAUGGGGUCAUUGUAGGGUCAUCGGGGCACGGAUAUGGGGGCACUGUAGGGUCAUCAGGGCACAGCCAUAGGGUCAUUGUAGGGUCAUCAUGGCACGGCUAUGGGGUCAUCAUAGGGUCAUCGGGGCACGGGUAUGGGGGCACUGUAGGGUCAUCAGGGCA
ensembl:lncRNA